UGUAAUUAAAUUGAACACUUUUGUAGCACAAACAAAAGCUUAAAUGUGACACCAUUUUUCUUGGUGCAAUUUCACAUCAAACACUUUUGUAGCACAAGCAAAAGCUAAAUAUAAUAACAAAACAAGGUGUAGUCAUGGCUAAAAAAAGGUAUAUACUAGAUCUAAUUUUUUUAUUCCAUUCAUAUAACUUUGUUAUAUGACAACUUUCACA
rnacentral:lncRNA from 1 species